GUUUAACGUCUUAAGUAAUGUUCACACAUGACUAAAUUUAAAAGUCAACAACCUAUGCGAUUGAAAUAUCAAUUUACAUAUUUAAUAUUCAUUUUGCACAGUCAUGUUGUCAAAACAGCAUUGAAAAGACCAAUGCAAAAUCAAUCAAAUAAAUACAAAUAAAUAACAGAACAUGCAAAUGAAACACAAGUUUUUUGGUAAAGUGUCCCCCAAUUGAAACAAUCUUAAUAGAAGUGAAAGAAAUCCGAG
rnacentral:lncRNA from 1 species